AUUGAACGCUGGCGGCAUGCCUUACACAUGCAAGUCGAACGGUAACGGGCCUUCGGGUGCCGACGAGUGGCGAACGGGUGAGUAAUGUAUCGGAACGUACCUUUCAGUGGGGGAUAACGUAGCGAAAGUUACGCUAAUACCGCAUAUUCUGUGAGCAGGAAAGCAGGGGAUCGCAAGACCUUGCGCUGAUUGAGCGGCCGAUAUCAGAUUAGCUAGUUGGUGAGGUAAAGGCUCACCAAGGCGACGAUCUGUAGCGGGUCUGAGAGGAUGAUCCGCCACACUGGAACUGAGACACGGUCCAGACUCCUACGGGAGGCAGCAGUGGGGAAUUUUGGACAAUGGGGGCAACCCUGAUCCAGCCAUGCCGCGUGAGUGAAGAA
rnacentral:rRNA from 1 species